UAGAUUUUCAGAAUCGAUGAAGAAACUUAACGUAUCGAUACAAACAUUUUUUUUAAACGGUUGGCCGAAAACGUAAAACAAAACCCGGAGCCUCCCUGAAACAAUCAAUUGAGAGAGUUUAUCUGAGGGCGUUAAAUUGAGCUCCAAGUCCCUCUUAUAAAUGGAUUUUGUUGACUUAAAAAACGAGGCAAGACAUCGUCUGUUUUUAAUUCGGAUCCAUUGCAGAAAGCUAAUCAGUGGGACGGUCAGGCAGAUGGCCAGGACUGAUCGUGUUUUCAAUCAAGUAUACUGGAGCCCAGUAUCAGCUCCAAGCUGGGGAGUACCCACCCAUCCAAGUUACAAAAACCAUGCCAACAGGCUUACAACUUGG
rnacentral:sRNA from 1 species